rnacentral:siRNA from 1 species
UAGACUGGGUUGGUGUCGA